AUAGCUCUAAUUCCCGUGUUUAAGCUUGUUUGGUCUAAAGGGAGCCACUAAAAGUGUUAAAAAGUAUCGGGAAAAAGAUCUGUUGGCACCUACACAUGUAUACAGUGAAAUAGUUUCUAUUUUUGUGGUAAAUUCGACAAAAAUUAAAAUAGCCAAACUAACAAAAAACAUCAUUAAAAAGUAAUCAAUAAAGAAUAUAAUAUUAUUUUAUUCGAAACGAGUAGGUAGGUUGUAUAAUAAUUAUCAAAACGGG